rnacentral:rRNA from 1 species
CCUGGCUCAGGACGAACGCUGGCGGCGUGCUUAACACAUGCAAGUCGAACGAUGAACCUGGAGCUUGCUCUAGGGAAUUAGUGGCGAACGGGUGAGUAACACGUGAGUAACCUGCCCUUGACUCUGGGAUAACCUCCGGAAACGGAAGCUAAUACCGGAUAUGACGCACGGAGGCAUCUCCUGUGCGUGGAAAGAACUUCGGUCAAGGAUGGACUCGCGGCCUAUCAGGUAGUUGGUGAGGUAACGGCCCACCAAGCCUACGACGGGUAGCCGGCCUGAGAGGGUGACCGGCCACACUGGGACUGAGACACGGCCCAGACUCCUACGGGAGGCAGCAGUGGGGAAUAUUGCACAAUGGGCGAAAGCCUGAUGCAGCAACGCCGCGUGAGGGAUGACGGCCUUCGGGUUGUAAACCUCUUUUAGUAGGGAAGAAGCGAAAGUGACGGUACCUGCAGAAAAAGCACCGGCUAACUACGUGCCAGCAGCCGCGGUAAUACGUAGGGUGCGAGCGUUGUCCGGAAUUAUUGGGCGUAAAGAGCUCGUAGGCGGUCUGUCGCGUCUGCUGUGAAAACCCGAGGCUCAACCUCGGGCUUGCAGUGGGUACGGGCAGACUAGAGUGCGGUAGGGGAGAAUGGAAUUCCUGGUGUAGCGGUGGAAUGCGCAGAUAUCAGGAGGAACACCGAUGGCGAAGGCANUUUNNCUGGGCCGUAACNGAC